rfam:Triticum aestivum genome assembly, contig: Triticum_aestivum_CS42_TGACv1_scaffold_158245_2DL
AUGCUUUUCUAGGCCUUUUGGUUAAGAUCAAGUGUAGUAUCGGUCUUAUCAGUUUGAUAUUUGGUAUGUAGAUUUUUAAGUCUAAAUAAUAUGAAAUUAAUUUUUUUCUGUUGAGAAGGAUCCCGGUAUGUAGCUUGCGACAUGGGUCCUUUGUGUCGCGCUAGUGCUGCACAACUACUAGGGGUGUGUUUGGUAG